UGAAUGAUAGUUUAAUGAUAUAGAAGCAUUUAAUUUUAGCUUUUGAAAAUCGACAUUCUGAGUGUUUUUGUAAUGAUGCUGGUUAUCAUGAUAUGAAGUGAGAGUAAAGCAACAGAGCAAUUUAGGUUCAGGAACCGGCACUACAGCAACUGAAAGAAGCAUCCAAAGGGAUAGGAUUCUAACGAUGAUGAUGAUCAUGCUUCUAAGAGAAACCUGGAUGUCAGCCAUCACGUCCUUUUUUGAGGAAUCAGGUGAGAUCUUCAACCAUUUGUUUUUAGAUUAUUCUUCCACUGAUUAAUAUAGUGCUUUCUUCUUUAGCCAGUUUAGGUAUCCAGUUAACUUUAAUUAUUCACUUCUUGAAUAUGGAAUAAUCGGAAUCAUCUCACAAGGACUGAUUAAAAAUGGGCAGUGGUAGAAAAUAAAAAGGGCAGUUAUUGGACCGGUUUUGUGGCUUCUUGGGGAAUCAAGAUUGAAUGUGAUAGCAAAAGUUUUUUGAUAGACCUUCCACCUUGGCUGAUACAGCUCAAAAAGUCCAAGUAAUGGAAGUAUAGAUAUCCCUUGCUGCUGCUGUGGAUCAGACGGGCACCCACUGUAAUAUUGUGUUGAUGAAUUGACAGGUUGUAAUUGAAACCCACAGAGAUGAUGAUGAGGACAUCACUUCACGUGCACCCUUGCGUACGUAUUAGAGGAGGAGGCAGGCCACAGCGAUUUCCCUGUGGCUAGGCGAGUAUCCGUGAUAGUGCUGAAGACCCCAUGAGCAUGUGCGAGCAUCUAGAAGACCCCAAACUGGGAAGAUGCACAUGGGCUACUUUAUGGAGUGAUCCAAACCGUUGGAUCGAAGGGACGUGACGAUCGGGCCGUUGGAUCACAUGAUUGGGACAUUGAUUGUGGAUUGUCCACACCAGUUUUUCUUAGCUUUUAUCAAUUUAUAGUAUUUAGUUUUGUUUAUGUUAUGUUUGAACGCUAUUAUGAGUGUUUUUAGUUGAUUUUAGUUAGGCAAGGGCUAUUUUCGUCAAAAUUUACAAAAUGGGAUGUUUAUUGUAAUUUUUUAACUUUCUUGAAGCUAUAAAAGAGAGUGGGCAUGUGACCCUCUCCCUCAUUGGAUUUUAUGAUUAAGAGAGAGAGAGAGAGAGAGAGAGAGAGAGAGAGAGAGAAGCUCAUGCUUUCUUCUUCCAUCUUCAUGCGAUUUGAAGAUACUUCCAUGCGAUUUGGAAAGGACAUUGGUGUGAGGCUAAUCUUCAUCAACGAAGGUGCGAGGUCUUCAUCUAUCCCCGCGCCUCUUCUCUCUUCUCCUCCAUCAAGGUAUUUUCUUUAAAUUCUUUGAUUCUAUCAUCCUAAGCCUUCAUCAUUUCAUAAAC